rnacentral:lncRNA from 1 species
AGUCGACUCGUAAUGUGCCGGAAUCGACUCGAGCUUGUGCCAGUGCUUCUGAUAUGCUUGAAGUCGACUCGUACUAUUUCGGAGUCGACUCGAGAUUCAGACUUUGAUUCAAAUUGAUUUCCAUACUUAGCCAAAGUGUAUUGAACCAAAGCUAGAGACACUUAAACAUAAAUUCACAAAUAUUUGACUGAAACACAAGAUUGAAUUCAUUAGUAUAACAUAAGAUAUACUCAAAUGCUUUGAGCUCAUCAAAAUCAAA